UCCCCAGUGGCUCAGAGGUAAAGAAUCUGCCUGCAAUGCAGAAGACCCAGGUUUGAUCCCUGGGUAGGGAA
rnacentral:tRNA from 1 species